CAUACAGCCAAAAUUGGUUCCUCUAUGGCAUUAUGUAGCACCUUUAGUUUUAAGAGUGUAUGAGCAUUAAAGAGAUUUUACACAAGCACACAGAUACCAGUUAUUAGCUGCAGAAAUAGAGAGAAAGGGAGAAAGUGAGUCACCUGAGGGUACAGGGUAAAAUGAGAGGUACAUCAAAAGUAAGACGGUGAAUUUAAAUCCCAGUCUGCAGAUCAUUCUCCGUAUUUACAAAUAGAUCAAGUUCACAUCCAAACUUCACACAAACUGACAAAACCAACCAAAACCAUCCCUGACCAAAAAAGGACAGCCCGUCCUCUGUGUGUGUGCAUGUGUGUGUGUGCGUGCGUGCGUGUGUGUUCACAGGUUGACCUCCAAACCACUGUGUCUGGACUUCUGAAUGCAGUUGUAAUUAAAGUAAAUUAGAUAUGUGCACAGCCAAUUUUCACAGAGACCGGCCAGCAAUACUUUUAUUAUUGAGAAGGAUCAGGCUGGCUUAUACGGUGAGGGAUUCAAGUCAAUGGAGGAGAAAAGGGCGAAGAUUUAUUCAGAAAGAGAAAAAAGAGCCCUCAGAAAUCUCGAGGCUCUCAAAUGCAGGUGGCGGCGUGGAGAAAAUCACUCUCCCUCUCUCUUUUAUUCCAGAGGGAUGGAAAUGACAGCAACAGGAGGAAGUGGAAGAGGCUCAGUGGAGGAAGAGAGUGGGCGCGCACAUCAAAGACUCCCAUCUGGAGCGCGUCCACACCUUUCUCCAUCUCUCGCACACAGACGCAUGCUUCUCGCGGGCUCUUAUCCGCCAGACAAACUGCCGUUUUUAAUUUGUGUGACAAUACGUGCGGACGGCCCCUUAUUUGCAAGGGGGAGCCUGGAGCAGCUCCCAUUUGAAUAAGCACACAUGUGGGUUAUCAGGGAUCAGGAGACUGUGCACACAGACAAGCGGAGCGUGACGAGCAGAGCUUGGCCUUCGCCAGUGGGGCAUGGAACCGCAUAGCACCACGAAAAGCAACAAAGCCACUCAAGGUCAGUGACUCCCUGACAACCGCUCCAUCUGCAAGAUGUGAAUCGUAAUCAGUGACAAGACAGCAGCGCACAUCAAACGGCGGGGAGCGGCUGGGGUCUGCGCAGCCACCUAAUAAAAAGCAAACAAGCCAUAAAUAAAAGGGAAUUUUAUAGAGGGCCGUCUGUGGUGGGCUGGUUGAGGGAAGCUGAGGAGAGAUGCACUGAGACAUCAGAGGGUAAACAUAACAUUAACUAGAACAAAUACUACAGUAUUUUGAUGUAAAGCAUAUAGAAGGUUGAAGAAGAGGAAGAGAGAGAGAAGGGUUGAAUAUGACAGCAGAUCAUGAGAUCUUUUCAUCUGACAGAUGAGGAGGAACCAAACGGCAAUUACGACCCUUGGGAAGGGAGAGAAGUCCACAGCUUUAGGUUACAGAUCAAACACAGAUACACAAACAGUGAUAUGAUAUUGUGUGAGCAGAUGUUUAAUAAGGACCAUUUAAAGUCAACAUGAAUUGGAAUAGUGUAUAUUUACUUUCUUAAAACAUGGGUUUCAUUGAAAAGUAAAGAAGUUUGUCUACCUUAUCUUUCAUGAUAAUAUAAAAUAUUCUUCUGUCAUUCUUCUCAUAUGAAACGUUAUUUUUUGUUUACAAUAAAUGGCAACGUUUCUCACAGACUUAUGAUUAAAUUAAGCUUUUUAGUCUAUAUAGCAUUCAAAGGCAACAUGCUGAGCAAAUUGACAAACUGACAGUGUUUAUUGUGAAACAUUGUACUUUUGACACCUCUGUGAGAUGGUCUUUGUUGCGACUGACUUUGAAGGCCUCCGCAGAACAAUAAUCAAGGCCUGUCUUAAAGAAUGCAUGGGGAUCAGAGGAGCCGUGUUCUCAGAUUGAAAACAAAUUGGUUUCACCUUUUCAGACAACCUCAUGCAGAAGAGAGAGUGGGAGUAGUUUUUGACAUUUCAUCUUUUCUUAUUAUUUUUUUAAAUGGGAUUUGGAACACAGCUGCGAUUCAUCUUUAAGAAGUUUGUUUUGAAAAAGAGCUUUUUUUAAGAUGCAAGAGAUGCAAGAUGCAGUUUCACUGUA